CAUAGCGACUAUCGUGGCAUAUCAAUAAGCGGAGGAAAAGAAACUAACAAGGAUUCCCUUAGUAACGGCGAGUGAAGCGGGAAGAGCUCAAAUUUGAAAUCUUCAAGGUUCUACCUUGACGAAUUGUAGUUUAUAGAAGUGUUUUCUGUUAGUGGAGUGGCAAAAGUUCUUUGGAAUAGGACAUCAUAGAGGGUGAGAAUCUCGUAUUUGGUCAUUCCUCCUAGCGUUGUGAUACACUUUCAACGAGUCGGAUUGUUUGGGAAUGCAGUCCAAAAUGGGUGGUAAAUUUCAUCUAAAGCUAAAUAUUGGCGAGAGACCGAUAGCGAACAAGUACCGUGAGGGAAAGAUGAAAAGAACUUUGAAAAGAGAGUUAAACAGUACGUGAAAUUGUCAAAAGGGAAGCGUUUGACACCAGUGUUGUUUAGUUGAAAAUCGAUUCAAUAAUUUUUGAUUUUAAGUAGUAUUGACUUCAUCAGCUUGCUGCUUUCUUUUCAGGAAUUAUUGAAUGCACUUUUCAGUUAACAAGUCAACAUCAAUUUCUUUUGUUGUAAAAGGGUAAGAGGAAGGUGGCUUACGCUUCGGCGUAAGUGUUUAUAGCCUUUUACCUCUGCAAUCGGAGAGAUUGAGGACAGCAGCGUAGACUCUUCGGGGUUAGAUACACUUGUGCUAAGCUAUAGCCUUGUAUAGACAACUUGUUGACUAUGCUCAGUCAUGUAGCUUACUCGCUUGUGCUAUUUUACCUACGCUUAGGAUGUUGAUAGUCACAGCGUGUAC
rnacentral:rRNA from 1 species